CCAGCAGCCGCGGUAAUACGAGGGUGCAAGCGUUAAUCGGAUUUAUUGGGCGUAAAGGGCGCGUAGGCGGGCUUUCAAGUCAGAUGUGAAAUCCCGGAGCUUAACUCCGGAACUGCAUUUGAAACUGGGAGUCUUGAGGGUAGACGGAGAGAACGGAAUUCCACAAGUAGCGGUGAAAUGCGUAGAUAUGUGGAAGGACACCUGUGGCGAAAGCGGUUCUCUAGUUUGACCCUGACGCUGAGGCGCGAAAGCAAGGGGAGCAAACAGGAUUAGAUACCCUGGUAGUCCUUGCCGUAAACGAUGUGUACUCGGUGUAGCUGGUCUCAACCCCAGCUGUGCCUAAGCGAACGCAUUAAGUACACCGCCUGGGGAGUACGCUCGCAAGGGUGAAACUCAAAAGAAUUGACGGGGACCCGCACAAGCAGUGGAGCAUGUGGUUUAUCGAUGCACGCGAGACUACCUGGGCUUGACAUGCAGUAGACCGGUGCAGAGAUGCACUUUUCCUUCGGGACUACUGUGCAGGUGCUGCAUGGCUGUCGUCAGCUCGUGCCGUGAGGUGUUGGGUUAAGUCCCGCAACGAGCGCAACCCUUAUCGUUAUUUGCCAACAUUUAGGAUGGGAACUCUAACGAGACUGCCUGGGUUAACCAGGAGGAAGGUGAGGAUGACGUCAAGUCAGCAUGGCCCUUAUGUCCAGGGCUACACACGUGCUACAAUGGUCGGUACAGAAGGCAGCGAAGUCGGAAGGCGGAGCAAAUCCUAGAAAGCCGGCCCCAGUUCGGAUUGUUGUCUGCAACUCGACAACAUGAAGUUGGAAUUGCUAGUAAUGGCGUGUCAGCAACAACGCCGUGAAUACGUUCCCGGGUCUUGUACACACCGCCCGUCACAUCAUGGGAGUUGGUUUUACCCGAAGCCGCUGACUCAACCGCAAGGGGAGAGGCGUCGAAGGUGAGGCUGAUAACUGGGAUGAAGUCGUAACAAGGUAGCCGAU
rnacentral:rRNA from 1 species